UCCAUAGGGCUGUGAGCUGGCUGUGCCAACAGUGCAUUUCCUGAGGGACAAUUAAUCCCCAUGCCUUAUGGGAAAGUUUGCUCCUCCAGCUGGUUUGCAGACAAGCAGUGCUUUGUGGGGAAUCAGAUGGCCAAAAGUGGAAUGAAUGAAGUAUUACAGAUCAAAACCAGAAAGAAAGAAGCACCAGUGAAGGCCAAACCCUCAAAUGCUUGGUGUGGGAAAACAGUGUUACGUGUCCUGGCUAGACUGGGGUUGGAAAAGGACUCAGUCAUCAGGCUCACACCUAACUAAUUAACCUGUUUUUUACUGCCCAGGCCAGCUUGCCCAUUGAGUUUGCUGUUAGCUGGGCCAUGGAGAGCACAGAGCCAGGACUCCACCUAUUUCACAUCCUGCUGUCAGCCAGCUGGGGCACCCUCCCCCUGCAGCUUCCUCACACCUCUGCACAGGAACCACAAAAAGGAUGUCACACCCUAAAACCAGCCCUGGCCCGCAGCCUCCUGACACUGACAGAGGUGCAGCCUGCUCCAGGGAGGGGCAAGAGAUUGCUCCCAUAUCUCAGCAGUCCUGGACGCACCUGGGUGAAUCCAGCUCCUCCUCCCACUCCCUGUGAGUUCAUUAGAAACAUCUUGCUGCUGGGCAGGA